AAAAUUGAGAGUUUGAUCCUGGCUCAGGACGAACGCUGGCGGCGUGCUUAACACAUGCA
rnacentral:rRNA from 1 species